CAUGGCCGGUGCUUACCUGCAAGUCGAACGGAGAUUCAGCAAUGGAUCUUAGUGGCGAACGGGUGAGUAACGCGUAGGCAAUCUGCCUUCUAGAUGGGGACAACAUCCCGAAAGGGGUGCUAAUACCGAAUGUUGUAAUUGGUUCGCAUGGACUAGCUACUAAAGGUGGCCUCUGAAUAUGCUACCGCUAGAAGAUGAGCCUGCGUCUGAUUAGCUAGUUGGAGGGGUAACGGCCCACCAAGGCUUCGAUCAGUAGCCGGUCUGAGAGGAUGAACGGCCACACUGGGACUGAGACACGGCCCAGACUCCUACGGGAGGCAGCAGUGGGGAAUCUUCCGCAAUGGACGAAAGUCUGACGGAGCAACGCCGCGUGAGUGAAGAAGGUUUUCGGAUCGUAAAGCUCUUUCGUUAGGGACGAACGUGCUCUUUGUGAAUAAUGAGGAGUAAUGACGGUACCUAAAUAAGAAGCCACGGCUAACUACGUGCCAGCAGCCGCGGUAAUACGUAGGUGGCAAGCGUUGUCCGGAAUUAUUGGGCGUAAAGCGCGCGCAGGCGGGAUAUCAAGUCUGUCUUAAAAGUGCGAGGCUCAACCUCGUGAGGGGACGGAAACUGGUAUUCUUGAGUGUCGGAGAGGAAAGUGGAAUUCCAAGUGUAGCGGUGAAAUGCGUAGAGAUUUGGAAGAACACCAGUGGCGAAGGCGACUUUCUGGACGAUGUCUGACGCUGAGGCGCGAAAGCUAGGGGAGCGAACGGGAUUAGAUACCCCGGUAGUCCUAGCCGUAAACGAUGGGUACUAGUGUAGUGGGUAUCGACCCCUCCUG
rnacentral:rRNA from 1 species